rnacentral:rRNA from 1 species
AAAUCUGCGCAGGGUUAGCCGGCCCCUAAGGCGAGGCCGAAAGGCGUAGUCGAUGGGAAUCAGGUGAAUAUUCCUGAGCCAGUUGGAAGUGACGAAUUCCGUAAAUUGUGAGGGCUUAUUGGAUUGUUCCUUGCAGUGAAGGGGUUCCAGAAAUAACUCCAACGGAGACCGUACCCUAAACCGACACAGGUGGACAGGUAGAGUAUACCAAGGCGCUUGAGAGAACUAUGCUGAAGGAACUCGGCAAAUUGCACGCGUGACUUCGGGAUAAGCGUGACUCUGCUUAGGGCAACCUUUGUAGAGUGGCACAGGCCAGGGGGUAGCGACUGUUUAUCAAAAACACAGGGCUCUGCGAAGCCGCAAGGCGACGUAUAGGGUCUGACGCCUGCCCGGUGCCGGAAGGUUAAAAGGAGUGGUGCAAGCUGCGAAUUGAAGCCCCGGUAAACGGCGGCCGUAACAAUAACGGUCCUAAGGUAGCGAAAUUCCUUGUCGGGUAAGUUCCGACCUGCACGAAUGGCGUAACGACUUCCCCACUGUCUCCAGCAUAGGCUCAGCGAAAUUGAAUUCCCCGUGAAGAUGCGGGGUACCCGCGGUCAGACGGAAAGACCCUAUGAACCUUUACUGCAGCUUCGCCUUGGCGUUAGCGGCAACAUGUGUAGGAUAGGUGGGAGGCUAUGAAACCGGGGCGCCAGUUCCGGUGGAGCCAUCCUUGAAAUACCACCCUUGUUGUCGCUGACGUCUAACCGCAGCCCGUUAUCCGGGUUCGGGACAUGGCGUGGCGGGCAGUUUGACUGGGGCGGUCGCCUCCCAAAGUGUAACGGAGGCGCGCGAUGGUGGGCUCAGAGCGGUCGAAAAUCGCUCGAUGAGUGCAAUGGCAUAAGCACGCCUGACUGCGAGACUGACAAGUCGAGCAGAGACGAAAGUCGGCCAUAGUGAUCCGGUGGUUCUGCGUGGAAGGGCCAUCGCUCAACGAAUAAAAGGUACUCUAGGGAUAACAGGCUGAUUUUGCCCAAGCGUCCACAGCGACGGCAAAGUUUGGCACCUCGAUGUCGGCUCAUCACAUCCUGGGGCUGGAGCAGGUCCCAAGGGUUCGGCUGUUCGCCGAUUAAAGUGGUACGUGAGCUGGGUUCAGAACGUCGUGAGACAGUUUGGUCCCUAUCUGCCGUGGGUGUACGAAGCUUGAGAGGAUCUGUCCCUAGUACGAGAGGGCCGGGAUGGACACACCUCUGGUGGACCUGUCGUGGCGCCAGCCGCGCAGCAGGGUAGCUAGGUGUGGAAUAGAUAACCGCUGAAAGCAUCUAAGCGGGAAACUAACCUCAAAACAAGGCUUCGCCGAGAGCCGUGGUAGACCACCACGUUGAUAGGCCAGGUGUGGAAGUGCCGCGAGGCAUGCAGCUUACUGGUACUAAUCGCUC